UACGUAGGGGGCAAGCGUUGUUCGGAAUUACUGGGCGUAAAGGGCGCGUAGGCGGCAUGGCAAGUCGGGAGUGAAAUCCCGGGGCUCAACCCCGGAACUGCUUUCGAAACUGCCAAGCUAGAGUACGGAAGGGGCAACUGGAAUUCCAAGUGUAGCGGUGAAAUGCGUAGAUAUUUGGAAGAACACCGGAGGCGAAGGCGGGUUGCUGGGCCGAUACUGACGCUGAGGCGCGAAAGCCAGGGGAGCAAAC
rnacentral:rRNA from 1 species